UUAUACGGCGAAACUGCGAAUGGCUCAUUAAAUCAGUUAUCGUUUAUUUGAUAGUACCUUACUACUUGGAUAACCGUGGUAAUUCUAGAGCUAAUACAUGCUUAAAACCCCGACUCACGAAGGGGUGUAUUUAUUAGAUUAAAAACCAAUGCCCUUCGGGGCUCUUUGGUGAUUCAUAAUAACUUUUCGAAUCGCAUGGCCUUGCGCCGGCGAUGGUUCAUUCAAAUUUCUGCCCUAUCAACUUUCGAUGGCAGGGUCUUGGCCUGCCAUGGUGACAACGGGUAACGGAGGGUUAGGGCUCGACCCCGGAGAAGGAGCCUGAGAAACGGCUACUACAUCCAAGGAAGGCAGCAGGCGCGCAAAUUACCCAAUCCCGACUCGGGGAGGUAGUGACAAUAAAUACUGAUACAGGGCUCUUUUGGGUCUUGUAAUUGGAAUGAGUACAAUUUAAAUCCCUUAACGAGGAACAAUUGGAGGGCAAGUCUGGUGCCAGCAGCCGCGGUAAUUCCAGCUCCAAUAGCGUAUAUUAAAGUUGUUGCAGUUAAAAAGCUCGUAGUUGAACCUUGGGCCUGGCUGGCCGGUCCGCCUCACCGCGUGCACUGGUUCGGCCGGGCCUUUCCCUCUGGGGAACCGCAUGCCCUUCACUGGGUGUGUCGGGGAACCAGGACUUUUACUGUGAAAAAAUUAGAGUGUUCAAAGCAGGCCUAUGCUCGAAUACAUUAGCAUGGAAUAAUAGAAUAGGACGUGUGGUUCUAUUUUGUUGGUUUCUAGGACCGCCGUAAUGAUUAAUAGGGACAGUCGGGGGCAUCAGUAUUCAAUUGUCAGAGGUGAAAUUCUUGGAUUUAUUGAAGACUAACUACUGCGAAAGCAUUUGCCAAGGAUGUUUUCAUUAAUCAGGAACGAAAGUUAGGGGAUCGAAGACGAUCAGAUACCGUCGUAGUCUUAACCAUAAACUAUGCCGACUAGGGAUCGGGCGAUGUUAUUAUUUGACUCGCUCGGCACCUUACGAGAAAUCAAAGUCUUUGGGU
rnacentral:rRNA from 1 species